rnacentral:rRNA from 1 species
GACGAACGCUGGCGGCGUGCCUAACACAUGCAAGUCGAACGAGACCUUCGGGUCUAGGGGCGAACGGGAGCGUAACGCGUGGGAACCUGCCCGUAGGGUCGGAAUAACUCCGCGAAAGGGGCGCUAAUACGGGACAAUUUCUUCGGACCAAAGAUUGAUCGCCUUUGGAUGGGGCCGCGUUGAAUUAGCUAGUGGGUAGCGUAAAGGCCUACCAAGGCGACGAUCCAUAGCUGGUGUGAGAGGAUGAUCAGCCACACUGGGAGUGUGACACGACCCAGACUCCUACGAGAGGCAGCAGUGGGGAAUAUUGGACAAUGGGCGAAAGCCUGAUCCAGCAAUGCCGCGUGAGUGAUGAAGGCGUUAGGGUUGUAAAGCUCUUUUACCCGGGAUGAUAAUGACAGAACCGGGAGAAUAAGCGCCGGCUAACUCCGUG